rnacentral:rRNA from 1 species
UGAAACUAGAUAUGACUUAGUGGCGGACGGGUGAGUAACACGUGAGCAACCUGCCUUUCAGAGGGGGAUAACGGCUGGAAACGGUCGCUAAUACCGCAUGAUGUGUUCGGAUGGCAUCAUCUGAACAUCAAAGAUUUAUCGCUGAUAGAUGGGCUCGCGUCCGAUUAGUUAGUUGGUGGGGUAACGGCCUACCAAGACUGCGAUCAGUAGCCGGACUGAGAGGUUGAACGGCCACAUUGGGACUGAGAUACGGCCCAGACUCC